UAUGGAUUGACACCUGUCCUAAGGAUCCCUGAUACACACUGAUACACACCUACUUGGAUGGUAUAGACAUUUUUAGCAGCUCCUGGCCCGAACACCUGACCCACAUAGGAGCCGUAAUAGACCGGAUUAGGGAGUCCGGACUGACCCUAAAGCCCAGUAAGUACCAUAUAGGAACGUGUAAAAACCUCCCCAAGAUAGUAGUAUGGGCCCCAGAAUGUGAACAGGCCUUCCAACAGCUCAAGACGGCGCUCAUUAAAUCACCUGUACUUUCUUCUCCUGAUCCAACUAAACACUUUCUCGUCCAUACAGACGCUUCUAUGCUUGGAUUGGG